GACUCGGCAGGAUCUGCUCCGUGCGCUGCUGCUGUGGCAGGGGGCGAUUUCUCAGCCUGACGUGGAGGACGGGACCGCGGGAAGAGGCCUGUGAGGAUGAAGCACAGGAAGAAUAAAAUUUCAUCAAAAAUCUCUGACAAACACCCUGAGAACUCACUGAGAACUGCAAUCACUUCCAUUGAACCAGGCUGACGCAUUUGUUUCACAAAAGUAAGAUCAAAUAUCCCACUAUUUUUAUGGCUUUGUUGCUCUCAUUUUUUAAGUUUUAACUAAAAAAUAUUUUAAAAAUGUAAUAAAAAUGUAAAUGUUUUGGUUACUUAUUGUCUUAGUUUCA